rnacentral:rRNA from 1 species
AACGGCCAUACCAUGCUGAAUAUACCGGUUCUCGUUAGAUCACCGAAGUCAAGCAUCAUAGGGCGCGGUCAGUACUUGGGUGGGUGACCACCUGGGAACACCGCGUGCCGUU